rnacentral:rRNA from 1 species
CCUACGGGAGGCAGCAGUGAGGAAUAUUGAGCAAUGGGCGCAAGCCUGACUCAGCAACGCCGCGUGGGCGAUGAAGGCCUUCGGGUUGUAAAGCCCUUUUCUGGGGGACGAGGAAGGACGGUACCCCAGGAAUAAGUCACGGCUAACUACGUGCCAGCAGCCGCGGGAACACGUAGGUGGCGAGCGUUAUCCGGAUUUACUGGGUGUAAAGGGUGCUCAGGCGGGUCUGUAAGUCAGGGGUGAAAUCCCAGAGCUUAACUCUGGAACUGCCUUUGAUACUGCAGAUCUCGAGUUUGGGAGAGGCGAGUGGAAUAUCUGGUGUAGCAGUGAAAUGCGUAGAUAUCAGAUAGAACACCAAGGGCGAAGGCAGCUCGCUGGCCCAAUACUGACGCUAAAGCACGAAAGCGUGGGGAGCAAACAGGAUUAGAUACCCCUGUAGU